GGGGGCGGCGUCUAUACAUAGCAGUCGAGCGGGGAAAGUAGCUUGCUACUUAACCUAGCGGCGGACGGGUGAGUAAUGCUUAGGAAUCUGCCUAUUAGUGGGGGACAACAUCUCGAAAGGGAUGCUAAUACCGCAUACGUCCUACGGGAGAAAGCAGGGGACCUUCGGGCCUUGCGCUAAUAGAUGAGCCUAAGUCGGAUUAGCUAGUUGGUGGGGUAAAGGCCUACCAAGGCGACGAUCUGUAGCGGGUCUGAGAGGAUGAUCCGCCACACUGGGACUGAGACACGGCCCAGACUCCUACGGGAGGCAGCAGUGGGGAAUAUUGGACAAUGGGGGGAACCCUGAUCCAGCCAUGCCGCGUGUGUGAAGAAGGCCUUUUGGUUGUAAAGCACUUUAAGCGAGGAGGAGGCUACCGAGAUUAAUACUCUUGGAUAGUGGACGUUACUCGCAGAAUAAGCACCGGCUAACUCUGUGCCAGCAGCCGCGGUAAUACAGAGGGUGCAAGCGUUAAUCGGAUUUACUGGGCGUAAAGCGCGCGUAGGUGGCCAAUUAAGUCAAAUGUGAAAUCCCCGAGCUUAACUUGGGAAUUGCAUUCGAUACUGGUUGGCUAGAGUAUGGGAGAGGAUGGUAGAAUUCCAGGUGUAGCGGUGAAAUGCGUAGAGAUCUGGAGGAAUACCGAUGGCGAAGGCAGCCAUCUGGCCUAAUACUGACACUGAGGUGCGAAAGCAUGGGGAGCAAACAGGAUUAGAUACCCUGGUAGUCCAUGCCGUAAACGAUGUCUACUAGCCGUUGGGGCCUUU
rnacentral:rRNA from 1 species